rnacentral:lncRNA from 1 species
CCUGUUUGUGAGAUAUUUUUUUUUUGAAAAAUUUGUAAUUUACAACAUCUUAGAAGCCCAGCGACGAUAUUAUCAAGGAUGAGUUAUUUAUUUCUGUCAGCAAAUCUUUUAUUUAGUGGAUGCUUAACUCUUUAAUACUGUUGUAAUCAGUAGUGUUAGAUAAACAUUUUGUUUAGAAACGGAGUAUAAUCGAAAUCAUUUAUCAAUUUGCCAAAAUCGUUUAUGAUUACGCAAUUCCAACUUGUCUGAAAAAGUUGCUAAAUACUAAACAGCAUUUCACACAAAAUAUGCCUAAAUGGACAAAGAUAUAUACUCAACAUCUGUAGGAAAAACAAAUCAACAAUUUUAUAAAUUAACUAUUACAAGAUUAUUUACUGAGGGAAAAUCAAAACAUAAAUGAUCCCCCUAUCUGACCUAAAAAUUUUUAAUAGCCGAAAUAUUUAAAAUAAGGAAGCUGAUGAAAUUAAUUAUAAGGAGCAUUCAACCAACAACCAUUUAUUUUGUUACUGUGAUUUUCUUGAUCUCUUUGAAAUGCCAAUUGAUUAUUAUUAAGGUUCUUCAUUAGGCUUUGAUGAAAGUAUUCCUUUAUUUUCAAGAUUAAUUCAAAAUUGUGCAUGAUGAUAAGGUCAUACUGUAAUGUUUGAGUGUGCUUACCAAGACCAUGACAAUGGGAGCAUACCAAAGGCCUCAUACUGUCUAGAAACAAACCUUAUAUUUUGUUGAUACAUUCUUUCAAACCUUGUUAUUAUUUGUUUUGAUUUGCCUACUUAAUUUAAGUGAGUUGGUUGUGAUAGUAAGAGAAAAAAUGUAUAAGUCAAAAAAAAAAUUAUAGUUUAAAAAACAUUUUUAUAAGUUACAAAAACAUUUUUAUAAGUUACAAAAACAUUUUUAUAUAUUAAAAAACAUUUUUAUAAGUUAUAAACAUGUUUAUUUAUUAUCAAGGUGUUCAGUGCUAUUGAUUUUCCCUUCAAGGUUUUUGAACAAAUCUGUAAUUAUCAAUGUGUGCGGUCAAGUUUGAUAAUCUUAAAGAAAUAAAGAUACAAAUUGUUAAUAAAAGAGCAAAGUUAACUGGAUGAAAUAUUAUUAACAUAUAUAUAUAUAUAUGACCCAUUAAUAUUUAUACUCUGGACCUUUUCUAAUAUAGUUUAUUCUUUUUUUUUAAUGCUAUUUUAAAUUAAAGACUUGUAUUUAAUUUGAUGAAUUUGAAGUAAAAUUAACAUUUUUAAGAAAGGCAAACAAAUUUGAUACUUUUGAACAAAUUAAUAUAUAUCCUAAUUUAGUGCAUGUAUUUUUUUAAGUUCUUGUUAGCUUCAGUGUGGUUAACACGAGUAAAGAUAUGAAUGUUAUAAUUUAUUGUAUGCUUUCAAUUGAAAGUUUAUUGUUAAUUUUUAUGACAGAUUAUUUAUUGUUGAUCCAAUGCUUAUUAUAAUCAAUACUGUAAUUAUGUACAUUUAUAAAGGCUGUAUUUAGUUGCUUUAUGUUCAAUGCAGAUCUUUGCAUGUAAUUUGUGUAAGGGAGAUAACUCCUUAACCAAUCUUUAUAUCUUCAACCUCUAAAAUUUCAAAAUCAACAUUCAAUAUAUCUGUAUAAUUCACAGUAUAAAAACAUUAAUGUUAGAUGUUUUCUUUCAAAAGUAAGUAUAUAUGAUGAAUGUGGAGGUAAUGGCUUUAUUGAACAACAUGUUUCUCAUUCUCCACUAUUGUAUAUAGUAUGUAAGUAAACCUCAUUCACAGAAAUCCUUUCAAACCUCAAUAUGUAUUGAUGAACAGAUGAUCAGAUGUCAAGCUGUGUGCUUUUUAUCAUUGAGCAAAUAAUGUCCAUUUGGAAUCAUAUGUAUAGAAGAAAUAAAAUUGAAUGUUAUGAGGAGAUAUUAAUGAUGUAAAACCAUUAUAUAUAAGUUAUUAAUAAGAUUACAGCUAUCCGAAAAAUAAAUACUAGAAUGUUUGAGGAAAAUAUUUAAGACCCAAAUUUCUGUUAUAUUUAGUCUAGACUCAAUAACAAAUUGUUUCAAUUCCAAGAUAUACAAGAUAUUUCUGAUUAAAAAAAAAAAUACCUGAUAAUUUUAACGACACCAGUUUUUGACAACAGGACAAGGUGUAGAUUUUACAGCAGUCAUUCAGAAAAUCUCUCAGACAUUACUCAAUUUCAACUAAGUAUUUCAUAUUAACAGCAAAUAUUAAUAGAUCCUAAAUUAUCUGAUUAACUGCUGUUAAUGUUAUUUAAAAAACAUUGAUUGCAGAGUUUUCAAAAUGACCAUGUGAAUCACUUUUUCUGCAUUAAUGAAAAUGAAAGUAGAAAGUGAAACUAGGAAUUACCAGGUCCAUUCUUUACAAGUCAUUAGAUGGUGCAAUGCUCUUAAGUAGUCAGUCCCACUUCAUUUAAACACAUCGUCAGAAUAGAGUGUAUGUAUAUUUACUUUUAAAAGAAUUUCAUAUAUAUGUUUAUCACUAAGAUAAUUUGUAGUACAUAGCGUAUUCCUGUCCUAUUUAUUUUCAUGUAAAUUUUUAAGUGAGGAUUUGAACGUCACUGAUUUAUAAUGUCAUUCCAAUUGUUAAUUUGUAUGAAUGUGAUUAUUUUGAAUGUACUCUGAAAAUGAUGUUUUGUUUUGUGUUUCCUUAGUUUUUUUGCAAAUUUUUGCAAAUUUUUAUAAUUCUUCAUGCAGAGUUGAUACUUAACUGUUCAGUUCUAUGAUAGAGAACAGGUAUCUAGAAAACUUAAACGUAGAAUUAUUUCAAAAUUUGAGGGUUUUAUUUAUAUUGGUAUUUAUAAUGUUUAUUUCUUGGGUACAGACAGUCCAUAUGAAACUACAAGCUGUAGAUUAUUUUUUUUCAUUUGCAUUUAAUAUAAGCAGAACAAAUCCUAUUAGUACCAGAUGGUUUCAAAAGAAAAUUUGUUGUCCAUGUAUUGUACAGCUGGAGGUGAAUUUUUGUCAAUCAGUCAUUGAUAUUCUGUGUUAUACAAAAAAAAUGGCAAAAACUUGUGUGGCAAUGGGUUAACUUGCCCUCUUUGACCAUGGAUUGACCUGUUCCCUGUAGGGCCAUUGGUUGACUUGCCCCUUUUGUUUGGCUAUGGUUUGACUCUCACCCCUUUUGGGUGGUCAUUGGUUGGCUAUAGCCAUGGGUUAUCUUGCUCUCAUUGUGGCCAUCUGUUAUCUUACUCUGUUUUUGGCCAUAUGUAAACAUGUUCUGUUUUUAAGCAGGUGAUAAAGAGCAGAAGCCAAAAGCUGUAAUGUACAAUAACAAAAGCUGUAAUGUACAAUAACAAAAGAAUUUAAUCCUAUAUCUGGUGAAAGAAAUGUAAAAGAGUGAAUUAUUUGAUGAGUGUUGUUGAUUAUGUAGAUUUUGUUAUACAUGUCCUGUAUAUUGUGAUUAAAGCUGUAUAUUAGCUUCACUUCACUUAUAUGAUAUUCUUCCAUCAUCUAGUACUGUUAGAUACCAUACUAGGCAAUACAGAAGACUUUUAUCAUGUGGUAUUUGAAUUAGAGUAAAGAUAGAUCUAAUCUAAAUCUAAAUGGUGUGUCCUGUUGGUAAUCAACUAAAUAUUUCAUAAUAAAUAUCGACAUGAUUGUAUACAUUUCAAAAAGGGUACAUGCCAAAGAAAGAUAAUAUACCGAUCAACAAAAGUUAAGUUUUGAAUAGAGUUCACUGAUCCAGGUCAAGGAUUACUGUGCACAAUCAUACCGAAAACAGCCGAACUUGCCAAAGAAAAAAAACACGACCAAGGUAAGAUUGAGUUUGUAAUCCUUGAAUCACAUAAUAACAGGUAAAUCCUAUAUAUUCUAAGAAAGCAAAUGGAAUGGGCAACAAAAGUUAGUACUGAAUAACGUGCACAGAUCCAGGUUAAGACUUAUUGAUUGACAACAUAACAAAAACUGUCGAACCUAACAAGAAAAAAAAUCAUGACCAAGCACAAUAUGAUCAAGUUUUGAACCCUUAAAUCCUCUAAAAACCGUAUACCCUAUAUACCCUAUAAGAAAGCUUAUAUACUGGACAACAAAAGUUGAAAAAAAAAGAAAGAAUAAAGAAUUGAAUAGAGUGCAUUGAUCCUGAGUAAGAAUUACUGAAUUACAUACCAAAAACGGUCGAAUUUACCAAAGAAAAAAUACAUGACCAAACACGAUACACUUUAGUCCUUGAAUCCUCUCAUAAAUACUAGUAUCCUAAGAAUGGACUAGGCAACAAGUGUUCUGUACUGAAUAAACCGCACAAAUCAUGGUUGAUGAUUAUUGAUUGACAACAUACCGAAAACGAUAGAACUUACAAAACAAUAACAUGACAAAGCACGAUAUGAUAGAGUUCGUCGCUAUUGAAUCGUCAAAAAACAUGUAUAACCUAUAUAUCUCAAGAAAGAUAAUGUGUAUAGCAAUGGAAUUGCAUAUACCGUCUAAAAAUCUGACACCAAGAUUUAACUUGCCUUGGGUGCAUCAACACAUUUAGAUAUACGUAAAAAAGAUGACUACUAGUAUAUAAAUUUGCAAAAAAAUACCAAACUAAAGAGUACUGGGAUAAAUUUAAGCAAUGAUUGAAAAAGCAGUAAAAACAACUUGAUUUGUAACAUAAUAAGUAUAUAUUUAAUAUGUUAGAAGUAAGCCCAUCAACAUCAGAAGCUUCAAUAAAAACGCAAGACCAAUACAGUUGAGGGAAAAAGUUCUGAAAAUAUAUUAAAUCUAAAAAGAGAAACCGUAGGAAGCAUCAACACUCUAUAUUAAUGAAGAAACAAUAGACAGCAGCAAAGGAACGGCAGAAGAACUUAAUACACAAUUUAAAUCAGUAUUCACAUACGAAUUGUAGACUUAAAUUUAAGAGCUUCCCC